rfam:Flavobacterium sp. ov086 genome assembly, contig: Ga0070134_101
CCAUAGCCCUGAUAGGAACGGCAUCCUUUUGUGGCGGUCCCGAUAGCUAUCGGGAGCCAUAAAAGAUAUAGUGGAGAGCAGGAAAUAGC